UUUCUGUUUAAGUUUAUUUUAAUUUCUAAUUUUGCUUUCUUUGCUUUUAAAUUUUUUUCAGCAACGCAUGUUAUAAAAAUUGCAAAUGUCUGUAACCAAGUUGUCUAAAUUAAAAUGCCCAUGCCUGGACAUACAAGACAAAAAACCGCACAAGUUUCCUGGGAAGGCUUGACUUGAAUUGAAAAAUAUAUGGGUGCAGUUGUAACCAAAGAUAUUCCUUUAAUAUAAUUAGAAGUUGAUGCUGUCGAGAAAACUAUAUUAAAAUGUUCACAACUAAAAAGAUACGAAGAAAACCACCAACAAAAGUCUGCCCAUUUUGUGGUGAACUGCAUACCAAGUUAAGUAGACACAUUUUGAAUAAACACCCAAAAAAUGAAAAAAUUAUUAAUAUAAAAUCAAAUAACAAAAUUACGAAGAAAAAACUUUUUCAGCAAUUCAGAAAAACUGGUAUUAUGCAAUACAACCAAAAACAGCUAUCAGAGAAAAAUCCAACUUAUCUACGAGAGAGAGUUUCUAAAACAAACGCUGAACCUGUAAUGUGCACAGGAUGUUUUGGGUUUUAUGUUCGCACAUAUUUUGAAAGACACCAAAAUCAAUGCAGUGAAAACUCUUGUACCUCUGUAAUCUAUUUACCAAUAACAUCUAUGGAUAAUAAUUGUAUAAAAGAAUUGAGUGAAGAUUUUAAAAAUAAUAUAAUUGAAAAACUACGAGAUGAUGAAAUAGGAAAAAUUGUAAUAAACUAUCAAACUAUUUUAAUGAUUGAAUCCUGUCUUUAUUAUAAAAUAAAAAGAAAAAAAGAUAAACAAAACGAAUUAAGAAGAUUAGUAAGAGCAGAUAUGAGGAGAUUGGCCCACUUGUAUACAAACUUUAAAAAAUUUGAAGUUAAAUCUGUAUACAAUAAUGCAACAGACAUGUUUUUCAGGUUAAAUUUUAGACAUCUCUUUUCAGCUAUUUCAAAUUAUACUUCAUCUAAAAAUGAAGAACAAAAAUCAGGACUAAAACAUGCUUUAUGCUAUUUAAUACUAAAUGCAGCUGAAAAGCUUGUUGGACAAAACAACAAAGUAGCAGAUAAUAUUUGCAAUUUCUUAAAGCUUUUUAAACUAAAAAAAGACAGCAUAUUUGCAGAUGCAAAUAAUGAUCUAGUUUCAAGAAGAAAUAGAAAGCUCAAAAAACCAGUUAACCUGCCAAUUGAAAAUGACAUAGAAAAUCUUCGAAAUUACACAAUAGAAACAAUUAAAAAAACAGUUAACAACAAAAUUAUCUUGUGGGAUUUGCAUUACUUUGUGUUGUUAAGGAAUUGCACAGUUACAAGGUUGACAAUAUUUAAUGCAAGAAGAGGUGGUGAGCUUGCAAGAUUGCUUCUAAGUGAUCGGAAGGAUGCUGAUGAAGAGGUGUGGCUGGAUCAACAAAGGAACAAUUCUGAUAGCAGUAUUAGCAAGAUCAAAAUCGCUUAUCAAAUUGGAAAGGGAAACAGAGAUGUUUCAAUUUUUAUUCCUCUAGACACAAUAGAGGCAAUGCGAAUUUUAUCAGACAUUAAAAUUCAAACAAAUGUUGGAAUAAAUCUUGAAAACCCAUAUGUUUUUGCAAGUGGAAAAAAUUUGGAAAGCCGUUGCUCUGGGUGGCAUGCACUAACUAGUGUUUGUCAAAAUCUACCCCUUGAAAACAAAAAAAAGCUUACUGCAACUACAAACAGACACAGAAUCAGUAUUUUAAUGGCUUCCAUUUCUAUGACAGAUAGUGAAAGAAACUUGUUUUAUGACUAUAUGGGUCAUAGUGAAGCCAUAAACAAACACAUAUCAAGCACCACCUGCAAUAAUGCAGCUCGCAAAAACUGGAUUAAGAUUGUCUAACCUUGAUAAAGGUCAACUAUGUGCAAGCCCAGCUAAGUUUGCUAAAAUAGAUCAUAUGCAACCUAUUAACAACUAUGAAAAUGAUGACAGGGAUGAAUUGUUAUAUGAGUAUGAUAACUCAAAAUGUGAUGCUGAAAACAAG